CCGCGUGAGCGAAGAAGGCCUUCGGGUCGUAAAGCUCUGUUGUUAGGGAAGAACAAGUACGAGAGUAACUGCUCGUACCUUGACGGUACCUAACCAGAAAGCCACGGCUAACUACGUGCCAGCAGCCGCGGUAAUACGUAGGUGGCAAGCGUUGUCCGGAAUUAUUGGGCGUAAAGCGCGCGCAGGCGGUCCUUUAAGUCUGAUGUGAAAGCCCACGGCUCAACCGUGGAGGGUCAUUGGAACCUGGGGGACUUGAGUGCAGAAGAGGAGAGUGGAAUUCCACGUGUAGCGGUGAAAUGCGUAGAGAUGUGGAGGAACACCAGUGGCGAAGGCGACUCUCUGGUCUGUAACUGACGCUGAGGCGCGAAAGCGUGGGGAGCAAACAGGAUUAGAUACCCUGGUAGUCCACGCCGUAAACGAUGAGUGCUAAGUGUUAGAGGGUUUCCGCCCUUUAGUGCUGCAGCUAACGCAUUAAGCACUCCGCCGUGGGGAGUACGGCCGCAAGGCUG
rnacentral:rRNA from 1 species